rnacentral:rRNA from 1 species
AGGAUGAACGCUGGCGGCGUGCCUAACACAUGCAAGUCGAACGUCCUGUCUCGCAAGAGGCAGGGAGUGGCGGACGGGUGAGUACCACGUGGGUUAUCUACCGUGAGGUGAGGAAUACCGGCGAGAAAUCGCCGACAAGACCGCAUAGCCUCGGUGCAAGCCGAGCAAAGCUCUUUCGAGAGAGGGAGCGCCACACGAGGAGCCUGCGCCCGAUUAGCUAGCUGGUGGAGUAACGGUUCACCAGGGCGACGAUCGGUAGCUGGUCUGAGAGGACGAUCAGCCACACUGGGAUUGAGAACGGCCCAGACUCCUACGGGGGGCAGCAGUGAGGAAUUUUCGGCAAUGGGGAAACCCUGACCGAGCAACGCCGCGUGCAGGAAGACGGCCUUCGGGUUGUAAACUGCUUUUCUUUGGGACGAGCAGGACGGUACAGAGGAUCAGCCCGGCUCACUACGUGCCAGCAGCCGC